AACAGGCAUGGAAACAGUGACCUUCUGGUUUGCAGGCCAGCACUCAACUCACUGAGCCACACCAGCCAGGGCUAAAGUAGAAUUCUUGACCUGCAGAAGGACUUGUUCUCAGCAUGCUUUUGCCAGGAAAGAGUUGGUCAGUUCUGCAAAAUGGAGAAUGUUUAGAGGAAGACAGGAGGUACUGGCACUUACCAAAUGCUCCUGAGGGCUGGGUCACAGCCAAGGUGGGGAGAAACCCAGUGCGACUGAUGGGAAGGCCUGGGGAUACUACUAAAUGUGCCCAUAUCCCUUUCAUGUGGCCCAGAACAGGACAUGGGCUGGACAGAGUAGAGCGAUGGAAAUUACCUCCCUCCUCCUACAAGACCUGCUUCUGUUAAUGCAGCCUGAGGUGGCCCUCACUUCGGUGGCAGCAGGUCAUGCUCUGUAUUCCAAGGACGGCAUGCAUGCUGCUAUUGUGUCACGUUCCCUGGUCACCUCAAGUCUUCCAAUCCCUCUCCCUCCUUGAGAAACAAGUUCUUCUUCAACUGCUUUUCAAGACUCCAUGAGUCAAAAACCUUGACCUCUUGGGGAGGUGAAGUGGUUAAGGAGAAGACAAGAAACCAGCUCUUAUUAAAAAAAACCUUCAAUGUAGCAAAGAAACAAACAAACAAACAAACAAAAAAGCGAAACACUAUUUAUUAUCUGUGUAGAAUACCUGGCCGCACUUAGGCUUAUGUCUCCAAAUCAUCGCCUGCAUUCUCAGUGCAUUUGUCCCUGACAGAGCCUCUGGGCAUCUCAUUUUGUCUUUCCCCAGGGAGUCCCCCACCACCCCACCCUUACUCAUGCACCCUUGGUGCAUUCCACCACCCUGCAUGGGAGGUCUUCAUUCAAGUGUCUGAACAAAGAAAAAAGUUGUUCCGGACAGUAACAGGAAAGGAGCAGGGACAAAGCCACCAUUCUGCCUGAUUCUACUUCAACCAAGUCCAAAACACAUGAUACAAGUUUAGUUCUUCACACGUACGAUCUCAUUUUUAUUUAAAUAAUACUGUGUACAGACAUUGGGCCUGGGGCUCUACAGAUAUUAACUCAUUUAAUCUCCAAAACAAUCCAUAAUAACAAUUACUAUUCCCAUUUUACAGAUGAAGACAUUGAGGCACAUGUAGAUUGAGUGACCUUCCCACAGUCACAAAAGUAGUGACAGAGCAGAGAUUGGGACCCAGGGAGUCUGCACUCUCCAACCUGUGCCAAGGGCAGGCAAACCUUUUCUGCCAAGGCCAGGAGGGUCUCAGACACAGAGCCUCUGUCCCAACUACUCAGUUCUGUCGCUGGGGUUGAAGAGCACUUGUAGACAACACAUCAGCAAAUGGAUGCGACUGUGUGUCAAUAAAACUUUAUUCAGAGACAAUGAAAUGUGAAUUUCCUGUCAUCUUCCGUGCCACGAAAUGUUACUUUUCUUUUGAUUUCUUUCCUUCGAACCAUUUAGAAAUACAAACUCCUUUCUUAGCUCGCCGGUCCCGUGGAAACAGGCGGCGCGUUGGAUCUGGCGGGCAGGCCACAGGGUGCUAACUGCCUCUCUCAGCUACACUAUUGUUCACCCUCUUCCCACAAGUCACUUCUUAUCACCUCUGUUCCAGGACAAAAGAAAUUGAGGUUUCCACAACCUUAGCUUUGUUCACACUGGCGAGCGGGCCCUAAGGAGGGCAGCGCAGAGGUUACUUGCCCGAGGAGGGAUGUGGGGCUCAGAGAGUGCCAGCAUCUUGCUGGAGACCUCGCAGCGAGGUGAUGGCCAAGCCAGGACCCAGGACCGAUACUGCUGGCUCACACACACACCGCCUCUGGAAGCAGCGGUCCCCUGGUGCUGUCGUCUCACUCCAGGCUCACGAGCAGGCAGCUCUCGGUUCGGGACCGUACAGCACCGUUCCCUUCCUAAAAGCACCUCAGUUCCAUUAAGGCGAAUUGCCUGUCCCCAGCCAUCUUGGGGCAGAGGUCAUUCUUGCUCCUUCUGCCCACUGCUGGCCUCCUCCCAUUAAAGUCAAAGGUAUCAGCUCCCUCCUCUCUUCACGUGGGUGAAUCAGUGGAGACACGUGACCCAAAAUGCCCUUUCCAAGGAUGUUGACUCUGUCAAGGACAAGGGAAUGGUUUCUGGUUGGUCAUUCUCUUUGUGACGAUAGGAGCUGUGGGGUCAUUGAUAGCACCCCUGCCUCUGUCCCUGUUAAAGGCAGUGACGGCUUUGCCUGCUUCCUGCUUCACGGCCCUCAGAGUUCCCUUCAUUCCUGCUGACACGGGCCUGCUCUCACUGUCUCUCAUUAAUUAUGUAGGCUCCCACUGGGCUUCGGGAAAAAUCCCCUUCGCUCUUAGUUUCUGGUGCUCACACAGAGCCCUGUCUGACACAGCUCCAAAGAAUGUGGGCUCUCUCUCUCCCCCUCCUACUUCCAAGCCUUACCCCCAUUUCUUCCUUGGAAGAAUAGUUUGGGUCCCCCAGAACUAAUCCCCACAUCACCUGGCAUAAACCUGUAGAGAAAAAGCAAGCAAACACAAAAUAUGCUCCCAAAAUCUUAGGGCCAGUGCAAGUGGAGAGGUUACUGGAGGAUUUCAUUUCCAUUUCAUUUCCUCUUGUUGCUCAUCUUUGUCCCCUGAAAAUUUCUUCCCACUGCAUUUAUGAUUAAAGACAACAAUAUUUACGGGCUUGUUGGUUUGAUUGCAAUUAGAGAAACUGAGACAUGCCCCUGUCCCUUUGUGGGUGUCCUUGAGAAGGAGACUGGGCCAGCGCUUUGUCACUGCACCGCCGGCUGUUAUCACCCCACUGGUAGGGGUGUAUUUACUGACAGAGCUGAGGGCUGAUAUCCCAUUGGCUUUGUUGUGCUUGUGACUCAGGGAAAGUCCUCACCUCUCCUUGCUCCCCCAGGUCUCCCCGCAUAAACAAGGAGGGGAUGGGACUGAGUGACCUCUAAGAGUUCCGCUGCCCAGUUCUGGGGCCUUUUUGAGGCUCAUGGCUUGAUGGAAACUGCAUCUGGGAGAGAAGCGACAGCUCACUCUCUGAGGGGAGACACUUAAACGUCCCAUGUGGUCAGCACUCUUUAAGUUGCAAAGGACAAAAACCCACCUCAAACUGGCAU